AAUAUAUGAAUAACUAGAUAAGUUCACCCUUGCGAACAUUCUUUGUAAACAUGAUUUAUAAUUAUGCUUUUAAAGUGCAAUAAAGAAUAUACAUUCAUAUUAAA